rnacentral:rRNA from 1 species
GACGAACGCUGGCGGCGUGCUUAACACAUGCAAGUCGAGCGGUAAGGCCCUUUCGGGGGUACACGAGCGGCGAACGGGUGAGUAACACGUGGGUGACCUGCCCUUAGCUCUGGGAUAAGCCUGGGAAACUGGGUCUAAUACCGGAUAUGACUCCAUGACGCAUGUUGUGGGGUGGAAAGCCUUGUGCGGCUAGGGAUGGGCCCGCGGCCUAUCAGCUUGUUGGUGGGGUAACGGCCUACCAAGGCAGCAAUGGGUAGCUGGUCUGAGAGGACGAUCAGCCACACUGGGACUGAGACACGGCCCAGACUCCUACGGGAGGCAGCAGUGGGGAAUCUUGCGCAAUGCGCGAAAGCGUGACGCAGCAACGCCGCGUGGGG